rnacentral:rRNA from 1 species
AGUGAACGCUGGCGGUAGGCCUAACACAUGCAAGUCGAACGGCAGCACAGUAAGAGCUUGCUCUUACGGGUGGCGAGUGGCGGACGGGUGAGGAAUACAUCGGAAUCUACUUUUUCGUGGGGGAUAACGUAGGGGAACUUACGCUAAUACCGCAUACGACCUACGGGUGAAAGCAGGGGAUCUUCGGACCUUGCGCGAUUGAAUGAGCUGAUGUCGGAUUAGCUAGUUGGCGGGGUAAAGGCCCACCAAGGCGACGAUCCGUAGCUGGUCUGAGAGGAUGAUCAGCGACACUGGAACUGAGACACGGUCCAGACUCCUACGGGAGGCAGCAGUGGGGAAUAUUGGACAAUGGGCGCAAGCCUGAUCCAGCCAUACCGCGUGGGUGAAGAAGGCCUUCGGGUUGUAAAGCCCUUUUGUUGGGAAAGAAAAGCAGCAGGUUAAUACCCCGCUGUUCUGACGGUACCCAAAGAAUAAGCACCGGCUAACUUCGUG